UUUUCGAUGUUUUAGGCCAUUGAUUGCAAACCCUGUGGGCUGUUGAGCAGCUCCUGUGUGGAAUCUAAUUAUAGGCUCAUUUGCACUUCAGAGUGGAGCCUCAGCUUGGUGUAAAGCUCGCUCUUCCAUCUCAGAAAAGACACCCAGUGGUUCUUUUGAUUUCGGUAGCAUUUAGCAUUAGCAAUAGUCAAACAAUUUUUUGUUUGUAAGUUCUAGCUAGUGUGAGCAGACUCGGCAGUGUAUUGAGAGCUAUAUAAACAUCUACUUAAUCUGUACGCGAGUAAGAUGUCUGUCAUGUAAUCCGGAGGGUAAAUAACCCUUCUGGAUGCCCUGCAUGAGUCCUAAUCAGCACACACAAACAACUUACACAGCCGCAUUCAAUCAUAUCGCUAAUCACUCUGUUGAGGUAUAGAGAGUUGCACGUUGUGUCUACUAUGCCAUCACAUGGGGCAUGAUGACAGAAAGAGGAGGGAGCAGUUGUCUACAGUUGCCGAACAGCGCUGCCACUCAACAAAGUUUCAAGGCCGCGACGAAGUCCUUCUCUUCCAGCGAGGCUCGUUCCCUCUCCCAGCCGACUCUGUUUGCAGUGCGUUUCCUUAAAGAUGCUGACUUGAGGAGAAGCGAGGACUUGUCAGCGCGGGAAGAUGAAGUGUACAUGCACCUCCCACUUUGUCAACGUGGGCCUCCACCACCUCGGCCAGGAAUUCCACACAAUUAGUCCAGGACCUCCAGAAGGCAAAAGAGAGAAGCAUGUGGCUGAGGAAGGCACAGGGCGCUUAGAAUGGUCUAUUUUUCUACGGACCAGUCUCCUCCAGGAUGUUCCUUUGACACGGCAGAUGUUUGGAUGCAACAAAGACGUGCAAUUGGCGUUGGCCUGGAUUCACUUGGUGAAUGGUGCCUUUCAAAGCCCUGGUGAACCACAUGGUGACCAGUGCCCCAGAUACAAAGCUCUGUUGGACUAACUUUAUAUUUGUUUAUCAAUUGAACAACGUGUGUUUUGUUUAUUUGCAUUUUUUAUUUGUCUUUUGUUCCUUUCAUUUGUUGAAUGGAGAAAGUGGAUCAUUGUUGUGUCACAUUGUACCAUAUACCAUCAUUUUACACAAUUUGUAUGGUAUUGUAUCAGAUUAUCUUGUAUGAUAUUAGAGCUUAAAUUUUGUUGUGUCAAUCAGUGUUGUACAUCUUAUUUUACUGUAUUAUAUCAAAUUGUAUUGGGUCUUCUUGAAUUAUGUUUAUUCCAGCAGCAUCUUUUGAUAUCGCAUCGUAGCAUGAUGAAUAGUAUUGUGUCCUAUAUAUUGAAUUGUAUCAUUUUAAUUUGUAUGCAGUUAUAGCAAAAGUGACUGUAUCGUAUGGUAUCAUAGUUGGAUAGUUAGAUUGUUUCUCAUUGCGUCGUGUAAUUUUUCAUUACAUUUUGUAUUGCAUUAGAUCUGAUCUUGGAUAAUUGGAUCAUCUUGAAUUGUAUCUUUGACAUUAUCAAAUUUUAUGUCAUACUGAAAUGGUGAACUCAUGAAUCGCAUCAGAUCUAUUCUGAUCACCCCACAUUGUCUUGAAUAAUGCGUGGUGUUACUCCCUACCUUGUUCAUAUGUGCAGCACACUUUUGUUUUUCAGGACUUUGAACUGAAUUACAUAUUUUACAAGACAAACUUGAAGUGGGUGGAGCUCAGUUCAGGACUUUUUCAAAAGGUCUCACAAAACCUGACCACAUUUACAAGCCUUGUCUAAAUGGACCAGUUUCAAUGAGAAUUUUCAUCUUGUUUUCUGAUGCAAACAGCAAUAAAAUAUAAAAGUAAGAGUAGCUAACUAU